rnacentral:rRNA from 1 species
CACGUAGGGCGCAAGCGUUGUCCGGAAUCACUGGGCGUAAAGCGCACGUAGGCGGCUUUUUAAGUCAGAGGUGAAAUCCUGGAGCUCAACUCCAGAACUGCCUUUGAUACUGAGAAGCUUGAGUCCGGGAGAGGUGAGUGGAACUGCGAGUGUAGAGGUGAAAUUCGUAGAUAUUCGCAAGAACACCAGUGGCGAAGGCGGCUCACUGGCCCGGUACUGACGCUGAGGUGCGAAAGCGUGGGGAGCAAACAGG